CGUCAAGUCAUCAUGCCCCUUAUGCCCAGGGCUGCACGCAUGCUACAAUGGCCGGUACAAUGGGUUGCAAAACCGCGAGGUGGAGCCAAUCCCCAAAGCCGGUCUCAGUUCGGAUUGCAGGCUGCAACUCGCCUGCAUGAAGCCGGAGUUGCUAGUAACCGCGCGUCAGCCAUAGUGCGGUGAAUACGUUCCCGGGCCUU
rnacentral:rRNA from 1 species